AUUGAACGCUGGCGGCAGGCUUAACACAUGCAAGUCGAGCGAGCGGCGGACGGGUGAGUCAUGUCUGGGAAACUGCCUGAUGGAGGGGGAUAACUACUGGAAACGGUAGCUAAUACCGCAUACCAUCAGAUGUGCCCAGAUGGGAUUAGCUAGUAGGUGGGGUAAUGGCUCACCUAGGCGACGAUCCCUAGCUGGUCUGAGAGGAUGACGGGCAACACUGGAACUGGUACAGGGUCCAGAUGCCAACGGAGGGCAGCAGUGGGGAAUAUUGGACAUUGGGCGAAAUCCUGAGGCAGCAAUGCCGCGUGUUUGAGGAGGGCCUUCGGGUUGUAAAGCACUUUCAGCGAGGAGGCGUUACUCGCAGAAGAAGCACCGGCUAACUCCGUGCCAGCAGCCGCGGUAAUUC
rnacentral:rRNA from 1 species